UUGACAGUGGCACUAAAUCAAGAUCGAUGUAGACUGCUAGACGGAUGGUUGCUAGAUCAAGUAGAUCUAAUCUAAAUUUAGCAAGCUUUAUUAGACAUAGACUCCUAAGUGUUUUUAGAAUCACAUUCAGCACAUUAAAGAAGAAAUCUAGAUUUAGAUGUUUGAUUUCAAGUGAAAAAUGCUAGAAUUAGAUUCCACAUUAUCAUGUUAUUGUUUGCAUUCCAAACUGGCAACUUUCAUGUCCCGAGCUGUGACCUACUGACAUACUCUUGCAGAUAUAUUUAGAACGACCUGGUAACCAUCAAAGUAUUCAUUAGUAUCGUUUUCAUUUUACAGAACUUUCAGAAUCCUUUGGAAUCAGCUAGCAACGGAAUUUAUGAAUCAAACUAUUUUAAAAUCUGCUACCAACGGAGUUUAUAAAUCAAACUAUUUUAAAAUCUGUAACUAACGGAGUUUAUGAAUCAAACUAUUUUAAAUCGGCUACCAACGGAGUUUAUGAAUCAAAGUAUUUAAAAAUCUGCUACCUACGGAAUUUAUGAAUCAUAAUUUAAAAUCUACUACCAAUGGAUUUUAUUAACCAAAAUAUUUUAAAAUCUGCUUCCAGCGGAGUUUAUGAAUCAAAGUAUUUAAAAAUCUGCUACCUACGAAAUUUAUGAAUCAUAAUUUAAAAUCUACUACCAAUGGAUUUUAUUAACCAAAAUAUUUUAAAAUCUGCUUCCAGCGGAGUUUAUGAAUCAAAAUAUUUUAAAAUCUGCUGCCAGCGGAGUUUAUGAAUCCAGAUACUGUUCUAUCUUCCACCAACAGUGUUUUGAAGUCUCGGUGUUUCAGAAAUCAAUGUACUCACAAAUCUUUGAAACACGGAAAUGAUGUCAAAGCAAUACUUCUUCCAUUCAGAUCUGCAUCUAACCUAUCAUCGGCUGGAUAAUGUCAUGAAAUAGUGGCAAGCUGUUAACUAGUGUGUGGGAUUUCCAGUUGGAUUAUCUCCUUGCUGUACACUUUGUGCUAUGUAGUGACCGACAACUUUGGUUCUUCCUGCGAUUGAAAGAUUUCAUCUGAAAACAGUAUACGUCUAGAGAUUUUCGUAGAAAGUUAAGGUAUGUAUACUAUCAUAGUCCGACUAUUCAGUUGAGAUUUGUUUUACUGGUCCUUCUGUCUUUGCUUCGUUAUGUCCUUGUCUCAUAAUGGUUUUGUAUUGUAUUAUUGUAUUUUCAUCUCUCUUCUUUCAUUCAUGACCUUCUGUAAUGGUUGGCCUUUAACCGUUGACCGUAUUUAACACAUAUUAAGAAAACAAUUGAAAACCUGGUAAAGAAAGGCCGUAACGAUAUUUGUUUUCUCACCUUCGAUAAAGUCCAGUAGGAAAUCGGCGCUGAAAGGCUUUUUUCCAAACGAACAGGCUUGGACCACGAGAUAUUCACCCCAAGUCUUGUCUGACGGCCCCCAGCAGGAACGGCUAUGGAUGUAGGUUUGGACCCGGAGAAAUUCACCCCAAGUCUUGUCUUACGGCCCCCAGCAGUAACGGCCAUGGACCGAGUAAGGGGAUCGUACCGCGUACACA
rnacentral:sRNA from 1 species